GACAGAGGGUGCAAACGUUGUUCGGAAUUACUGGGCGUAAAGCGCGCGUAGGCGGCUUUGCAAGUCGGGUGUGAAAUCCCCAGGCUUAACCGUGGAACUGCUUGGUAUACUGGCGAUCUUGAGCCACUUAGGGGCUACCGGAACAAAUGGUGGAGCGGUGAAAUGCGUAGAUAUCAUUUGGAACGCCAAUGGUGAAAACAGGUAGCUGGGAGUGUGCUGACGCUGAGACACGAAAGCCAGGGGAGCAAACGGG
rnacentral:rRNA from 1 species